rnacentral:rRNA from 1 species
CCUACGGGAGGCAGCAGUGAGGAAUAUUGGUCAAUGGGCGCGAGCCUGAACCAGCCAAGUCGCGUGAAGGAUGAAUGCCCUACGGGUCGUAAACUUCUUUUAUAAAGGAAUAAAGUGAGGGACGUGUGCCUUUUUGUAUGUACUUUAUGAAUAAGGAUCGGCUAACUCCGUGCCAGCAGCCGCGGUAAUACGGAGGAUCCGAGCGUUAUCCGGAUUUAUUGGGUUUAAAGGGAGCGUAGAUGGGCUGUUAAGUCAGUUGUGAAAGUUUGGGGCUCAACCGUAAACUUGCAAUUGAUACUGGCAGUCUUGAGUACAGGUGAGGUAGGCGGAAUUCGUGGUGUAGCGGUGAAAUGCUUAGAUAUCACGCAGAACUCCGAUUGCGAAGGCAGCUUACUAACCUGCCACUGACGUUGAUGCACGAAAGUGUGGGUAUCAAACAGGAUUAGAUACCCCUGUAGUC